rnacentral:rRNA from 1 species
GCUUCCUACGGGAGGCAGCAGUAGGGAAUUUUGCGCAAUGGGGGAAACCCUGACGCAGCAACGCCAUGUGUGGGAUGAAGCAUUUCGGUGUGUAAACCACUGUCAGCGGGGAAUAAACGGCAGCUUCGGGCUGCUUUGAAUGUACCCGCAAGGGAAGCCCCGGCUAACUUCGUGCCAGCAGCCGCGGUAAUACGAGGGGGGCAAAUGUUGUUCGGAAUCACUGGGCGUAAAGGGAGCGUAGGCGGGUUUUUAAGUUAGGUGUUUAAUCCCGGGGCCCAACCCCGGACCGGCACUUAAAACUGGGAAUCUUGAAUAGUGGAGAGGUCGGUGGAAUUGGGGGUGUAGCGGUGGAAUGCGUAGAGAUCCCCAAGAACACCAGUUGCGAAGGCGGCCGACUGGACACAUAUUGACGCUGAGGCUCGAAAGCAUGGGGAGCAAACAGGAUUAGAUACCCUGGUAGUCCAUGCCAUAAACGAUGAAUACUAGGUUUUGGGCCCGUCAACGGUCCAGAGCCGCAGCUAACGCGUUAAGUAUUCCGCCUGGGGAGUACGGUCGCAAGACUGAAACUCAAAGGAAUUGACGGAAGC